AAAGUACUCCCUCCGUCCCAAAAUUCUUGUCUUAGAUUUUUCUAGAUACAGAUGUAUCUAAUACUAAAAUGUGACUUGAUACAUCCGUAUCUAGACUAAUCUAAGACGAGAAUUUUGGGACGAAGGGAGUACUUC
rfam:Triticum aestivum genome assembly, contig: Triticum_aestivum_CS42_TGACv1_scaffold_061624_1DL